rnacentral:misc_RNA from 1 species
GUUUACUUCAUUGCAGUGUUUGGCAAAUUGAAGAGAAAAAGUGGUUUGAUGUAGAAAAGAAAAAAAUUAAAAAUUGUAAAACUCUAAUCCUAAAAAUAAUACAUAAAAUCAUCUUAAAAAAACUAUAAUGCAACACCUCUAUAUUGAUUCUCUCCCUUAUCUAAAUAAAAAAAAAAUUCAAAUUUGUGAAGAAAUUAGAAAUCACUUUUACUUGGGAUUUGCCUUCGACUCUGUCUUCAAGAGCUCGACCUCAUCAAAGGUAACACUUAUU